CCUACGGGUGGCAGCAGUGAGGAAUAUUGGUCAAUGGACGAGAGUCUGAACCAGCCAAGUAGCGUGAAGGAUGACUGCCCUAUGGGUUGUAAACUUCUUUUAUAUGGGAAUAAAACGUUCCACGUGUGGGAUUUUGUAUGUACCAUAUGAAUAAGGAUCGGCUAACUCCGUGCCAGCAGCCGCGGUAAUACGGAGGAUCCGAGCGUUAUCCGGAUUUAUUGGGUUUAAAGGGAGCGUAGGUGGAUUGUUAAGUCAGUUGUGAAAGUUUGCGGCUCAACCGUAAAAUUGCAGUUGAAACUGGCAGUCUUGAGUACAGUAGAGGUGGGCGGAAUUCGUGGUGUAGCGGUGAAAUGCUUAGAUAUCACGAAGAACUCUGAUUGCGAAGGCAGUUCACUGGACUGCAACUGACACUGAGGCUCGAAAGUGUGGGUAUCAAACAGGAUUAGAUACCCUAGUAGUC
rnacentral:rRNA from 1 species